rnacentral:rRNA from 1 species
ACGUAGGUGGCGAGCGUUGUCCGGAUUUACUGGGCGUAAAGGGUGCGUAGGCGGAUAUUUAAGUGAGAUGUGAAAUACCCGGGCUUAACUUGGGUGCUGCAUUUCAAACUGGAUAUCUGGAGUGCAGGAGAGGAGAAUGGAAUUCCUAGUGUAGCGGUGAAAUGCGUAGAGAUUAGGAAGAACCCCAGUGGCGAAGGCGAUUCCCUGGACUGUAACUGACGCUGAGGCACGAAAGCGUGGGGAGCAAACAGGA